GUGUCAGCAGCCGCGGUAAUACGAAGGGGGCUAGCGUUGCUCGGAAUCACUGGGCGUAAAGGGCGCGUAGGCGGACUCUUAAGUCGGGGGUGAAAGCCCAGGGCUCAACCCUGGAAUUGCCUUCGAUACUGAGAGUCUUGAGUUCGGAAGAGGUUGGUGGAACUGCGAGUGUAGAGGUGAAAUUCGUAGAUAUUCGCAAGAACACCAGUGGCGAAGGCGGCCAACUGGUCCGAUACUGACGCUGAGGCGCGAAAGCGUGGGGAGCAAACAGGAUUAGAAACCCUCGUAGUCC
rnacentral:rRNA from 1 species